rnacentral:rRNA from 1 species
GACGAACGCUGGCGGCGUGCUUAACACAUGCAAGUCGAACGAAGUGGCGAACGGGUGAGUAACGCGUAAUCAACCUGCCCUUCAGAGGGGGACAACAGUUGGAAACGACUGCUAAUACCGCAUACUGAAGGAGGGGUUUGUGUCGGAUUAGCUAGUUGGAGGGGUAAAGGCCUACCAAGGCGAUGAGCAGUAGCCGGGCUGAGAGGAUGAACGGCCACAUCGGGACUGAGCAACGGCCCAGACUCCUACGGGAGGAAGCAGUGGGGAAUCUUCCGCAAUUGACGAAAGUCUGACGGAGCAACGCCGCGUGAGUGAUGACGGCCUUCGGGUUGUAAAGCUCUGUUAAUCGGGACGCGGUACCGGAAUAGAAAGCCACGGCUAACUACGUGCCAGCAGCCGCGGUAAUAC